CCUACGGGCGGCAGCAGUGAGGAAUAUUGGUCAAUGGGCUUACGCCUGAACCAGCCAAGUCGCGUGAGGGAAGACUGCCCUAUGGGUUGUAAACCUCUUUUGUCAGGGAGCAAUUGGCGCUACGUGUAGCGUUAUCGAGAGUAUCUGAAGAUAAAGCAUCGGCUAAGUCCGUGCCAGCAGCCGCGGUAAUACGGAGGAUGCGAGCGUUAUCCGGAUUUAUUGGGUUUAAAGGGUGCGUAGGCGGAAUGUCAAGUCUGCGGUAAAAUUGCGGGGCUCAACCUACCUCCGCAAUUGAGACUGGCGUUCUUGAGUGGGCGAGAAGUAUGCGGAAUGCGUGGUGUAGCGGUGAAAUGCAUAGAUAUCACGCAGAACUCCGAUUGCGAAGGCAGCAUACCGGCGCGCAACUGACACUGAAGCACGAAAGCGUGGGUAUCGAACAGGAUUAGAUACCCCUGUAGUC
rnacentral:rRNA from 1 species